rnacentral:tRNA from 9 species
UCCGGUAUGGUGUAGUGGCUAACAUUUCGCGCUCUCAUAACCUGAGGGAAUAGCACCGCGGAGCCCAGGGUUCGAUUCCCUGUACCGGAG